AUAAGAUAGCUUCUCAGCUUUCAGCUUUACUUCAUGGUUUUAACUAUCAAAAGAAGCAAGCCAUCUGAAGAUUUGCCUGAGACUGAAGGAUCCACUUCUGCGACGACUCCCUCAGGACUUAUAAUGCAGAUGGAACCAGAUUGAGAACAACCAACCAACCAACCAACCAACCAACCAAUAUGAUGGCUGAACCAGACAAGAGAAGUCCCAAAGUAAAAUACCCAUCAAUUACCAGAAUCUGUGCCUGUCAUACAUCGAAGUCUCUGACUUCUUUAUUCCACAUGACUCUGCAAAUCUGCGUCUGAACUUAUAUUCUCCUGAAACCAGAACGGAUGAAACUCAUUAGAUGCUCCAGCCUGGGGGAUUAAUGUUUACCUUGAUUUAAUGUCUCAUCAGAAGCAUGACAUCCACAGCACUCUGGCUGCAGCAGGAUUAAAUGAAGCAUGGCCGUUUCUUCAAGAGAGACUUAAACUUCAAGCCUUUAGCCCUAGAGGGAAUGGGCAGGAGAUGAAGAGAGAGUAAAAAUCUUUUGAACUACCAA
rnacentral:lncRNA from 1 species